AAUACACAGAUUCUCAUUGUGUAAUUCUGAAUGCUGUUCCUGAUGUGUAUUCCUCUUCGGAUUCCCAUUUACACACUCCUACUUCAUCCAUCCCAUCUAAUUCUCCUCUUCAAUAUCUUUCAGAGCCUUCUCCGCAUUCAACAGAACCUCACUUAAAUUCACAACCCAUUUUUGAGCCUAAUGUUCAGCCUGUUAGAAGGUCAACUAGGAACAGAAAACGCCCUCUUUAUCUUGAACAAUAUCAUUGUCAAUUAGCCAC
rnacentral:lncRNA from 1 species